UACGGGAGGCAGCAGUGGGGAAUAUUGCACAAUGGGCGCAAGCCUGAUGCAGCCAUGCCGCGUGUAUGAAAAAGGCCUUCGGGUUGUAAAGUACUUUCAGCCGUGAGGAAGGUGUUAAGGUUAAUAACCUUAGCAAUUGACGUUAGCGACAGAAGAAGCACCGGCUAACUCCGUGCCAGCAGCCGCGGUAAUACGGAGGGUGCGAGCGUUAAUCGGAAUUACUGGGCGUAAAGGGCACGCAGGCGGUUAAUUAAGUUGGAUGUGAAAUCCCCGGGCUUAACCUGGGAAUGGCAUUCAAGACUGGUUAGCUAGAGUCUUGUAGAGGGGGUAGAAUUCCAUGUGUAGCGGUGAAAUGCGUAGAGAUGUGGAGGAAUACCGGUGGCGAAGGCGGCCCCUGGGACAAAGACUGACGCUCAUGUGCGAAAGCGUGGGGAGCAAAC
rnacentral:rRNA from 1 species